AUGGAUCUUCCCGACGAGUUGGUGGUGGACAUCCUCGGCCGCCUGCGGCCAAGGGACGUCGCCGUGUGCCGUUGCGUACGCAAGGACUGGCGCACAGCCGUCGACUUACACGGGUUACUGCUUCUUCCAGUGGGUCCCGUGCGAGGUCUCUUCGUCAACUACAUUUAUAAAUGGAGGAACGGCUUCUUCUCCCGAGUUGCGCCGGCGCAGGGGAGCCCAUCCAUCGACGGCGGGCUCCGUUUCCUGCCUGGCCGGCCGACAAAUUACCGGGGUGUCCUGGAUCACAGCAACGGCCUCCUCCUCUACGAGAACGCGCUGGAGAUGCAUGUGUUGUCAUUAGUGGAGGAGAUUUAUCGAGUGAUCAAAACCCCAAGACUACAUGUAGCCGAGUACAACGAAGAAGACGACGAUGCUAAAACCUUUGGAUAUCUCGGAAAAUCCAACAAUGGGGUAUACUACACCGCCAUUCGUGGGUACCAAUUUCAGGUAUGGAUAUUGCGUGAAGCAUCAGGACUACAUCAAGCACCGGAGUGGGAGGUGAAGCAUCAAGCUAACCUCAAGCUUGCAUUUGUGCGGCACUACAACAAACACAAGAUAGGAGAAAAUAGUGCCACUUGGGUUUUGAACCCUCGCGACAAAGUAUCAGAGGACAGAGAAGAACAUGAAUGGGACUCUAGUGAUGAUAGUGAAGAUAGUGUUGCUGAUAUGGAAGAAGAGGAGAUCAACAACCUCGAGGGCUACAAAAAGCACUAUCACUACUACGGCCUAGACCUGUUAGGUUACCAUCCUCACAAGGAGAUUGCACUUUUAGGCAACAGUUUCAAAGGUUUUGCCUACUACCUAGACAACUCAAAAUUAGAGUAUUUGGGAUCACUUUUCCCAAGAUUUAGUCUAGAUAUCCGUCCCCGUGCACCCAUGUUCGAGUCAUUCAUCUACACUCCUUGUAUGGAUGAUUUGCUUCCGGCUCACAAUGAUAUUUAG
rnacentral:rRNA from 1 species